UGAGGCAUUCCUCUACAUCUGCGGAAUAGCCCUGAGCUAAUCUCAGUUUAACAGAGCUAUGUCGCAGAAAGACAACUGGGUAACAAUCACAGUUCAUGUGUGACAAGGAGAUGCAGCAGUUAGGAGUUGGAUCUGCUGUUGGUGAGUCCAUGAUCUGUUUAUUUCACAUUCACCAAUUGAAAUGAUAGGCUGGUGGUUGAGUGUUUCCCACAGAAUGGAAAAGAACAGCUUGAUUCAACCAACACGGCCCAUCGUGAUUCAACCAACACGGCCCAUCGUGAAUCCUGGCUGAUGGCACUUCCUCUUCCAAGCCGAGGGACAUCCAAGAUACCAGGCUGUUCAUUCCAGUCAAGAUCCAGUUGCCCACAACAAGCUAAUGCUCUUAAAUACUCCUCAGACAACACAACAGAAGCACUAGAGGAGUAAAUCUCUUUACAUGUUCACAUGCCUGAGUUUUAAAUGGGAAUAAAAUUUGAGUUGGAAAUAA